UACGAGGGGGGCGAGCGUUGUUCGGAAUUAUUGGGCGUAAAGGGUGCGUAGGCGGUUCCGCAAGUCCUGUGUGAAAUCUUCGGGCUCAACUCGAAGUCUGCACGGGAAACUGCGGGGCUUGAGUGUGGGAGAGGUGAGUGGAAUUCCCGGUGUAGUGGUGAAAGGCGUAGAUAUCGGGAGGAACACCUGUGGCGAAAGCGGCUCACUGGACCAUAACUGACGCUGAUGCACGAAAAGCUGGGGGGAGCAAACAGG
rnacentral:rRNA from 1 species